rnacentral:lncRNA from 1 species
CGUGGAGUCUCCCUGGCACGGCAGCGCUCAGAGCCGUGGCUGGCGGGCACGUCCUGGGCAGACACCCUCAGCCGCCGGGGUGGGAGCCAGCCGAGUCUCUGCCCCGGUCUCUCUUUUGCAAAAGAGUUGGAUGGAGAGACUGAAUGCUGCGAGAAAAAGCAAUGUCUGCGAAGAUGCUGGCUGACAGAAAUAAGACAACACGGGGUUGUGUCGAGGACAGCACAAGUGACUCCGGGAGGCCUGUGAGGUCUCAGCUUGGCCUGCGGACUUAGCCUGGCGGAUCUGCAGAGAAUCCCUUGGGAUCCCCCAGACCGGCACCAGAAACCUCAGACGGUGCCCACCCUGAGCAUGUGUCUCCAGCAGUCUGUAAAUUUUACCGAACGAGCAUUUGUCAUUCCAUACUUUAUCCAAAUAGAAUCAUAGAAGAAAAAAAUCUAUAAUCUCAUCCAUGAAACACAAAGCCCUCCCACAUUUUAGGAUAUUUCCUUCUAUUUUUCUCCCUUGACAAGCAACGUUGAGUGUAUUAUAUAUCAUAUACACACCCUGCAGAGACACAUACACAUAUGUAUAGACGUAUAUCUUCACCUUUAUUGAGAUGGUGAGUUACAUUGUUUAUUUUUUGUUUUCUGAGGCAAAGUCUCACUAUGUAGUUUGGGCUACCUUUGAACUCACUAUGUACCCCAGGCUGGCCUCAAACUCACAUUGAUCCUCCUGCCUCAGCCUCCCGAGUACUGGGAUUAUAGGUGUAAGCCACCACACCCAGCUAAAUUACAAUGUAGCCACCACAUCCAGCUAAAUUAUGUAUAAAAUUAAGUUACAAUGUACAAAAUUCCUGUGUUUUAAGGGGAUUAGUGUAUGAGUUUUGACAAAUGUACAUACCUUAGUAACCACUGGAGAAAGAUCUAGAAUAUUCCUUCAACUCACAGAGUUACUGUGUACCCUUAAGCACUCCCAACCCCCACCUCAGGCAGGCACUGAGCUUACUCCUCAGGUUUAAGGCUACAAUGAAUAAAGCAGCUGGGAGUGUUCUUAUACCAGUCUUUCUUAGGGAUAUGUUUUGACUUCUCUGGAUAAACACCCAGGAAUAGAAUUACCUAUCACGGGGUAGAUCUCAAUGUUUGACUUUGUAGGAACCCUCCAGACAAUUUUCCAGAGUGCCUGUGCCAUUUCCCAUUGUGUGAGGGUUCCAGUUGCCCCACAUCCUCAUCAGCACUGAGUGUUGUUGCUCUUUUUCAUAUUAGCCACUCUGGUGAGCAUGAAUUUUCAUUUCCCUGAUCAACAAUGAUGUUAGCGCUUUUAAUAGGCAAGUGUUCCCACAAUUGUAAUUGUUUGUAUUCUCUGCUUUUUAA